rnacentral:lncRNA from 1 species
GAGAGGCAGAGAUUCUCCCUAAGUGGCAAUGUCCUUGGCCUUCUAAGCUAAAACCUAAAUGGAACUAUAAUAUAUAUUUUGAUGCUUUAUCUCACUUGAGUUUUUUAUUCUUUAACUGAAGGGCAGCCAUGGACCAUAAAUACAUAGAAGAUAAAAAUAUAUUGAGCUUAGGAGUUUGGUCUGUUCAAUGGAUGAGAACUUUAUAUUUUCCCUUAUAAACACAAUUUUCAAAGAAUAGCCUGUAAUAGUCGUGAAAAUGGAAACCAAUACUGGGGAAAUGUGGACUGCAACUCUGAAAAGGUAUCAAAAUGCCCGAUAGUUCAACACAAGGGCUAAGCAAUAUUUCAGGGAUGUGGCCUGUCUUUGGUGGCUCGGUCACUCUAGUGAGAUGAAUUUGGAAAAGGAUAGGCAUACAGAAUCCCCCCUCUGGCAGGGUUUGCCUUUGGGGUCUGCUUAAAGCCAUGUUUGCUAGUAGAAAUCUUGAGUAACCAGAUAUGUUUUAUAAUGCUGUGUCAUAUUUAAAUUCUGAUGAGAUUGACAUCUUUAAAUAAGCUUGGACACAGAUUGGAUUUGUACAGGGAACUGGACUGAAGAAUAAUCGUAGGUCAGUAAUAGAUUUAGAUAUACUAUUUUUAUAUUGUAAGCAGUUACUUCUCAGGAUUAGUAUUCUAAUUCAUUUGAUUUAAUAUGUAAUAGGUAAUAUUAAAAAUAAAGAUUUUAUG